AUCUGAACAGACAGACAUCUGUUUUGGGUGUUUGUCUUUGUGGAGACCAGAGUCUCAAAGGGGACUCCUGUGCCACAUUUGCCAGCUGCUUAAACCACCUCCUGCCGGUGCUUUAACCAGCAUUCCAAGAGAAGCGAAGACUUGUAGGUUUGGGUUUUCAUGUGGUUUAAAAUUUAAGGUGCCGUGUGGUCUGGUGAUGUUGGGCCUUUCUGUUCUGUGUUAACGCCUGAUUGCCUUGUCUGUCGUAGGGUGGAGGAUCCCAGUAUGUAGCACUUUGCACCGUCCCCUGCGUGCUGGCCUUGUGUUCAGCCUUAGCUAUGAAAUGCUUCAGUGUGUCUCCUUGUGUCAUGUACUGUCAGCUGUGGGAUGAAUGAGUAAGGAGGGAGUUGCCGGGGGGAAAGGUCACUACCAUUGGGCACCUGUUUGUACCUUUAUCAGCUGAGACCUUAGAUCCAAUCCCCAAGCUCUGGGAAGCUCUAGCUAUGGCAGUCUCUUUCCCUCACACUGUCAGGUUUGAGGUAUUUAGACAAGUAGCCCCGAGCUCCUUCUAAGCAGCUCUGCCAUCUUGGGCACACUUAGUUUGCCAUAUCGCUGAACUUUCAGGCUUUAGCCCAAGGGAAUGGCAAGCAUGGCUUAUUUGUUGCAAUUUCUGCAACAGGCAGUGGGCAGUUGCUCAGGCUCAUGAUCUGUCUUAGUCUUGCUUAUGACCUGCAAUAUAGUUGAUAGGUGAGGGGACAGACAGAAGGUCAGAGAAAGGAAGUCAGUAGUCUCAUGCCAGGAGAGUCCAUGCACAGAGGUCUUUGCUCAGCUUCUUCUGUCACCAGAGUCUCUUGAUUGCAGAUGUCCCCGUUGGUUAAAUGAAGCACCAGAUCCAUCGAGACCCAGUCAUGUUUUGUUAUCAUUGCGACCCUCUUUUGAGAUGUGGCUUUGUGGGUGCUUAAAUGACAGGCGUGCACCACAGUACCUGUCUCUGCCCAAGGGUUUUGUUGGUCACUCUAGUGCUGCUGCCUCCUAUCUCACUGCAGCAGCCCAUACUGCUUUCUGGUUCUUUUCAGCAAUACAGUUGGCCAGAGAGGUCCUUCUAGUACCUUCUUUCUUCCUGGGCUCCUGAGGCCCCCUAGACAGCAUCAUUCAUCUUGGUCUUUGACUCUCUGUGGAGGCAUGAACUUAAAAGGCUGUACUCCACAGCUAGGAAGCAGUCAUUGAGGUACUUUGGCUAGGGUGGCAGUAUAAGAUCCGGGCUGGCAGCAUCGCAGACUCGGCACUCAGCUCUUACUGCGGGUAAAACCUGACGACGAGGUUCCCUCCAACAGGCCCACCCAGAGAGUGGCAAGUGUGAUGCUGGGCCGUGAACAUGCAGCUAAGUGACCAAUUUGGACACUUAAGGUGAUGAACGGACUAGUUCUAUCUUCCCCAGGCAACAGUUAAAGGCCUUACUUCCCAGAAGUAACAGCCCACACAUGGCCUAAUGAGCUACUGGCUGGCUCUUCUCUUCCCUACCUCCCUCCUGUGGAAACUACAUCCCUUACAUCCCUGGUCUAGGUUCUGUGUUCUCAGCUGCUUCUCCAAUUGCCUUCUAAGUAAGAGGUGUUCAGAGGCCUCUUGAAGCCUGUCUGCUGGCAGGCCUGGGGUAAGAUAGGGAUGCAAGCGAGGAAAUGCGUCUCCAGCUCACAGCUGAGCUACCCCUUACAAAUUGCUUGCUGCUGCUGCUGAGCAGACACAGUUGUGCUUGAGCCUCUGUCCAUCUUCAUCUGAUGGUAGCCUGUGCUUUAUGCUUUCACCUCCUUGUCCUGAGUGCUCUCUCCUUGAAGAAAGAGCCUUAUUGCUUUUCUAAUGAUGAGAAAAGAUGACCUGUUUUAGCCACUGCUAACAUCUUUGGGUCUGGGCUCACAGGGAUGGAUGGAUGGAUGGGUGGAUGGGUGGAUGGGUGGAUGGAUGGGCGGGUAAGCAGGCAGGUGGACGGGUGGGUGGGUGGAUGGACAGAUAGAUAUAUAUUUAUAUAUAUUUGUAUUUCUAUUGUCUAAAUAUCACAGUGGACAUUGUUCAGUUGCCUCUGUGCAGCCUAACCAUAUGCUCUAUACCAGACAGAACCAUGUGACUUGUAUGUCAAGGCAUUGCACCACCUGGAUGUGUAGUUAUUAACUUAAUUUUCACUGAGUUAGGGUGUGUUUACUGUUUCAGCCUUCAUAAUGUGUAAAAUGAUUUAUAUUACAUUUUUAAAAUUAGCAGUUGAGAGGGAUCAAGAGUACAGCCUAUAUUAUACAGUGCUCUACUAUAUAGUGUACUUACAGCUAGCCGGAGUUAAAUGAGAUCCUAUCUCAAAACAAAUUUAUAGUAAACUUUAAUGACAAAAGUACCCAUCUUAGGGGCUGGGAAGGUCGCUGCCACUAGUCCUGUCAACCUAAGGCCAAAGCACAGCAUCCUGCAAGUUGUCGCCUGACCUCCGCUCUGCUGCAGUCUGCUCACACAUACAAUAGAGAUAGAACUCCUGGUGUCUCUAGUGUGCUGCAUUCUGAAUCCCUCGUGUAAGUGGAAUCAUGUAGCACUUGUCCUUGGUAUCUGACAUCUCAGCAUAUGUAUUUACACACCUAUAUACCUAUAUACCUAUCUCAUCACUUGAAGCAGAGGGACAAGCAUUGCCAUGAGUUCAAGGCUAACCAGGACUCUAGAGAGACCAUUUCAACCUCUUACUACCAGUGCUAUCUUUCUUAGUCAGGGUUUGUAUUCCUGCACAAACAUCAUGACCAAGAAGCAAGGUGGGGAGGAAAGGGUUUUAUUCGGCUUACACAUUCACAUUGCUGUUCAUCACAAAAGGAAGUCAGUGCUGGAACUCACACAGGGUAGGAAGCAGGAGCUGAUGCAGAGGCCAUGGAGGGAUGUUACUUACUGGCUUGCUUCCCCUGGCUUGCUCGGUUUGCUUUCUUACAGAACCCAAGACUACCAGCACAGAAAUGGCACCACCCACAAUGGGCUGAGUCCUCUCUUUGAUCACUAGGUGAGAAAAUGCCUUACAGCUGGGUCUCAUGGAGGCAUUUCCUCAAGGGAGGCUCCUUUCUCUGUGAUAACUCCAGCUUGUGUCAAGUUGACACAUAAAGCCAGCCUGUACAUUAUCUUUAGUGAACUUUCUGAGGUUUUUGUUGUUGUCUUUGCUUUUGUUAUUUUGGAUUUAUUUUUUGUUUUGCUUUGGUUUUGGUUGGUUUGUUCCGAAGACUGACUUAAAAGGCUCAAAUGCAAAGUGAAUUUAUAAUUCUAGCAAGCCCCUAUCAAACACACACAAUCUAGGUAUUUUAUUUACAAGUUGUAAGCCUAGAUUGGGCAGAUUUAGAGCUAUUGUAAGUUAUUUUCCCCAGCUAUAAAGUCCCUUGUUACUUGUUUCUUUUGGUCACAUGCUCAUGGUCUAUAUCCUCUCAUGUGGCCUCCUUUCUUUUUCUCCCUCUACCUGCAACUCAAUCCUCAAGUCCCACCUUUUUCCCUCCGCUGCCCGAUCACAGACUCUAGCCUUUUAUUGACCAGUUAAAUGGGGGAGCAAGGGUUCCUUAGCAUCACUUGGUAUGCAUGAGAUUCUAACAUUGCAGGCAACCAUGUUUUGAGAGCCAGUGUUUAACAUUAGAAUACAAGCAGCAUCAAACCAACCUACUACACUCAGACACACUAAAUAUGUGCUAUACCACUGAGCCGCAGCUGCAGCUGACAUGUUUGUGUGUUGAUUGUGGAUGCCCGUACGUGUGGUUUCACAUGGGUGGAGAGAGCAGAGGUUGAGUUGGUUGGCCUUCCUCUGUCGUUUCUAAAACAGCGUCUCUAACUGACUGUGUGUCUUGCUGAUCGGCUAGACUAGCUGGUCAGGAAACGCUGCAUGUCAUCUUCUCUCCAGCAUGCCUAGCUUUCAUGUGGGUGCUCGGGAUGAAACUCGGGUCUGAAUGUUUACUCCUCGUGCAGCCCUGGCUGUCCUGGUGGACCAGGUGGGCUGCAAACUCAGAAAUCCGCCUGCCUCUGCCUCCCGAGUGCUGGGAUUAAAGGCGUGCGCCACCACGCCUGGCUAGCCUCAAACUUUUUAAGGAGGCAAAAAAAAACCAAAGUACUAUGGAAUGUUAACAUGUAGGAUGUGGGUGUGUGAGUAGCUUUUGGUUGGUUGGUUGUUUGGUUGGUUGGUUUGGUUAAAUAGCUGGAUGUGGCAGUGCAUCCUGUGAUGUAAGCUGCUCAGGAGGUAAAGGCAGAAAGAUUAUAAGGUCAAGUUGAACACCUUAGUGAGAUCCUGUCUCAAAAAGUAAAAAGAGGGCCAAUAAAAUGUGACAGGGUGGUAGAGCACCUUAAGUUCCCCCGGCAAAACACAAAACAAGCAACACAAGCUAGCAGUGGGAAUGGUCCUCACUUUGUAUCUCUAGCCCUCCAGAGGCUGAAGGAGGAGGACUCAGGACAGCACCAGCUUGAACUGCAUACUCUAUUUUCUCUUUGGUUUUGUGAUAGAAGGAACAGUGAUACCACACCUGGUCAUUGGGGUUUACUUUGUUAUGUUCUAUGUGCCAUGUCUAAAAUGCAGCAGUCCUGUCUGCAGUGUAUUUUAGCAUUGACAUACACGUGUCAUUUUAAGAGACAUUCGAAGCUCAGUACCAAGAUGGAUGGUUGAUGUGUGGUUCCACAAAAACAGUUUAAACAGCAACCAUUGGUUUACCAGAUCAAAAAAUAGAUGUUGGUAAUUGGGUUUAUGUUAUUAUGUGUAUAGGUGACACACCUUUAAAAAUGUCUAGAAGACAAGGAUGGAUCGGGGUGGGAGGAUAAAAUAUGGAGUGUAAAAAAA